rnacentral:rRNA from 1 species
UAGUCCACGCCCUAAACGAUGCUAACUCGAUGUUUGUUUAACUAUGAGCAUCCAAGGGAAACCGUUAAGUUAGCCACCUGGGGAGUACGUUCGCAAGAAUGAAACUCAAAGGAAUUGACGGGGGUCCGUACAAGCGGUGGAGCAUGUGGUUUAAUUCGAUGAUACGCGAGGAACCUUACCUAGGCUCUAAUGUGAGCGCAAUUUUGUGAAAGCAGAAGUUCCUUCGGGACGCGAAACAAGGUGCUGCAUGGUUGUCGUCAGCUCGUGCCGUGAGGUGUUGGCUUAAGUGCCGCAACGAGCGCAACCCCUAUUGUUAGUUGCCAUCAUUUAGUUGGGCACUCUAGCGAAACCGCCGGUGACAAGCCGGAGGAAGGUGGGGACGACGUCAAGUCAUCAUGGCCCUUACGGGCUGGGGCUACAAACGUGCUACAAUGGUAGUGACAGUAGGCUGCGAAGGGGCGACCCGGGAGCCAAUCCCUCAAAAAACUAUCUCAAUUCAGAUUGCAGUCUGCAACUCGA